rnacentral:sRNA from 1 species
CCUCUGUGACUUGUUGAGGACAGAUGUAGUGAACAUGUGCAUCAACGGCACCCGCUGUGACGAUGUGUUUCUCGCCGGCAAUGACCUCUGUCGACGAACCCACGACUAGCUUUGGGUGUACGCCCUCCAUAACAUCCGGAUUUCCUGCUUUCCCAAUUCCGACUAUUAUGCCAUCUUUCACACCGAUAUCUGCCUAAUCAUGAUAUUAGUAGGGGAACUUAGAUGCGAACAACAUAUAAUACCUUGUAUAUGCCGGACCAAUCGACGAUGAGUGCAUUAGUGAUAACGAGGUCAAGGCUUUCUGAAGCAGGGCGGUUGGUUGCCUGACCCAUCCCCUCGCGAAUG